AUUGAACGCUGGCGGCAUGCCUUACACAUGCAAGUCGAACGGCAGCACGGGUGCUUGCACCUGGUGGCGAGUGGCGAACGGGUGAGUAAUACAUCGGAACGUACCUUAUCGUGUGGGAUAACGCAGCGAAAGUUGCGCUAAUACCGCAUAAGCCCUGAGGGGGAAAGCGGGGGACCGUAAGGCCUCGCGCGAUUAGAGCGGCCGAUGUCUGAUUAGCUUGUUGGUGAGGUAAAAGCUCACCGAGGCGAUGAUCAGUAGCUGGUCUGAGAGGACGAUCAGCCACACUGGGACUGAGACACGGCCCAGACUCCUACGGGAGGCAGCAGUGGGGAAUUUUGGACAAUGGGGGCAACCCUGAUCCAGCAAUGCCGCGUGAGUGAAGAAGGCCUUCGGGUUGUAAAGCUCUUUUGUCAGGGAAGAAACAGCAGCUCUAACACAGUCUGCGAAUGACGGUACCUGAAGAAUAAGCACCGGCUAACUACGUGCCAGCAGCCGCCGUAA
rnacentral:rRNA from 1 species